rnacentral:rRNA from 1 species
CAACUUUUAACAACGGAUCUCUUGGUUCUCGCAUCGAUGAAGAACGUAGCAAAGUGCGAUAACUAGUGUGAAUUGCAUAUUCAGUGAAUCAUCGAGUCUUUGAACGCAUCUUGCGGUCGUUGGUAUUCCAACGACCACGCCUGUUUCAGUAUCAAAA